rnacentral:rRNA from 1 species
AGCCAGGAGUAAAUAUUUUUGGUUCAACCUGCCCAAUGUAAUAAAUUAAUGGCCGCGGUACCCUGACCGUGCUAAGGUAGCGUAAUCAGUUGGCUUUUAAAUGGAGUCAGGAAUGAAUGGAAAAACCUGGUUUAGCUGUCUCUUAACUAUUCAAUUGAAUUUACUUUCUAAGUGAAAAAGCUUAGAAAUAGAAAAGGGAGGAGAAGACCCUUAGAAUUUUACUAAAUUAAAUGUGUGGUAUACAUUUAGUUGUUUUGUUGGGGUGACAUGGAAAUAUUUCUUAACUUUCCAAAAAAAUAAGACAAUUAUAAUAAGAAAGAAAAAAUUACCUGAGGGAUAACAGCAUAAUACUAUAAAUGGGUUUGUGACCUCGAUGUUGGACUAGGAAACUGAUAAACUAGCCGUUUAUUGUGUUGGUUCUGUUCGAACUAGAAUUCCU